rnacentral:rRNA from 1 species
UGAGGGAAUAUUGGGUCAAUGGUCGGAAGACUGAACCAGCCAUGCCGCGUGAAGGUCAGUGCCCUAUGGGCGUUAAACUUCUUUUGUGUGAGAGCAAUAAGGACCUCGUGAGGUCCGAUGAGAGUAUCACACGAAUAAGCAUCGGCUAACUCCGUGCCAGCAGCCGCGGUAAUACGGAGGAUGCGAGCGUUAUCCGGAUUUAUUGGGUUUAAAGGGUGCGCAGGCGGACUCGUCAAGUCAGCGGUAAAAAUUCGGGGCUCAACCCCGUCCUGCCGUUGAAACUGCGAGACUGGAGUGCGACAGAGGAAAGCGGAAUGCGAGGUGUAGCGGUGAAAUGCAUAGAUAUCGCGCAGAACUCCGAUUGCGAAGGCAGCUUUCCAUGUCGUGACUGACGCUGAGGCACGAAAGCGU